rnacentral:rRNA from 1 species
GACGAACGCUGGCGGCGUGCCUAACACAUGCAAGUCGAGCGGAGACAGCAAGUAGCAAUACGAACUGUUUUAGCGGCGGACGGGUGAGUAACGCGUGAGCAACCUGUCCCAAACAGGGGGAUAACGAACCGAAAGGUUCACUAAUACCGCAUAAGACCACAGAGUCACAUGGCUCAAGGGUCAAAGGAGAAAUCCGGUUUGGGGUGGGCUCGCGUCUGAUUAGCUAGUUGGUGGGGUAACGGCCUACCAAGGCGACGAUCAGUAGCCGACCUGAGAGGGUGAUCGGCCACAUUGGAACUGAGACACGGUCCAAACUCCUACGGGAGGCAGCAGUGGGGAAUAUUGCACAAUGGGGGAAACCCUGAUGCAGCGACGCCGCGUGAGCGAUGAAGGAAUUCGUUUCGUAAAGCUCUGUCCAAGGGGAAGAUAAUGACAGUACCCUUGGAGGAAGCCCCGGCUAAAUACGUGCCAGCAGCCGCAGUAA